rnacentral:rRNA from 1 species
UACGAAGGGGGCGAGCGUUGUUCGGAUUUACUGGGCGUAAAGGGCGCGCAGGCGGCUUUGUUUGUCAGGCGUGAAAGCCCCGGGCUUAACCUGGGAACUGCGUUUGAUACGGCAGGGCUAGAGUUCGGGAGAGGAGAGUGGAAUUCCCAGUGUAGAGGUGAAAUUCGUAGAUAUUGGGAAGAACACCAAUGGCGAAGGCAGCUCUCUGGACCGUUACUGACGCUGAGGUGCGAAAGCGUGGGGAGCAAACAG